CUGGUGAGUAACGCGUGAGGAACCUGCCUUCCAGAGGGGGACAACAGUUGGAAACGACUGCUAAUACCGCAUGACACAUGGCCGUGGCAUCACGGACAUGUCAAAGAUUUAUCGCUGGAAGAUGGCCUCGCGUCUGAUUAGCUAGUAGGCGGGGUAACGGCCCACCAAGGCGACGAUGUCUAGGGGUUCUGAGAGGAAGGUCCCCCACACUGGUACUGAGACACGGACCAGACUCCUACGGAAGGCAGCAG
rnacentral:rRNA from 1 species